rnacentral:rRNA from 1 species
UACGGAGGGUGCUAACGUUGCUCGGAAUUAUUGGGCGUAAAGCGCACGUAGGCGGCCAAGUGUGUCGGAUGUGAAAGCCCUCGGCUUAACCGAGGAAGUGCAUUCGAAACUACUAGGCUUGAGUACGGGAGAGGGUAGCGGAAUUCCCGGUGUAGAGGUGAAAUUCGUAGAUAUCGGGAGGAACACCAGUGGCGAAGGCGGCUACCUGGACCGAUACUGACGCUCAGGUGCGAAAGCGUGGGGAGCAAACAGG